rnacentral:misc_RNA from 1 species
UGUGCAUUGAUGCGGUUAACCGCCAUGGCUUCAACUUGUCAUGUCCGCAUCCGGACCAUUUGUCCAUCUCCUGGGGAGGGAUGCGUGUUGGUGGUUGCCUGUGUGGCUCUAUCAACUGGAGGGAAUUUUCUAGUACUCGUCUUGUGACGGGAAGCGCUGGCAUGUUCUGCAGUUUGAUAAAUUGCAGCUGAUGUUGCCGAAGGUGAAUCCUUGUGUGGCUGCGGGAUGUGCGGCCCGCACAUGAGGGUGAUUCUGGCUCCUAUGGAUGCCGUGUACAACGAGUGAACUGCUGUCUGCUGGCCAGCAGUUCGCACUAAGGAUGUCUCGUGUGCUUGCUUGUAAGCCCUGCUGUUCAUAUCUCUUGUUGCGCGCUCUUGUGACGGGGAUGGGCUUCUAGCGGGCUGUGUUGCGGUGCGUGCGAGAUUUCCCAUUAUCUGCUCGAGCGGUUGCCCCUCCACGUCAUGUGUGGGACCUCCUCUAUGCGGGGUUGCCGUAAUGAUGUGCCGGCUCUG